AGUGAACGCUGGCGGUAGGCCUAACACAUGCAAGUCGAACGGCAGCACAGGAGAGCUUGCUCUCUGGGUGGCGAGUGGCGGACGGGUGCGGAAUACAUCGGAAUCUACUCUGACGUGGGGGAUAACGUAGGGAAACUGACGCUAAUACCGCAUACGACCUACGGGUGCAAGCAGGGGACCUUCGGGCCUUGCGCGCUCGAAUGAGCCGAUGUCGUAUUAGCUAGUUGGCGGGGUAAAGGCCCACCAAGGCGACGAUCCGUAGCUGGUCUGGGAGGAUGAUCAGCCACACUGGAACUGAGACACGGUCCAGACUCCUACGGGAGGCAGCAGUGGGGAAUAUUGGACAAUGGGCGCAAGCCUGAUCCAGCCAUACCGCGUGGGUGAAGAAGGCCUUCGGGUUGUAAAGCCCUUUUGUUGGGAAAGAAAUCCAGCUGGCUAAUACCCGGUUGGGAUGACGGUACCCAAAGAAUAAGCACCGGCUAACUUCGUGGCAGCCGCCGCCGUAA
rnacentral:rRNA from 1 species